CCAAGUUUGUUUUAUUCUUUUCUCUGGUAUCAACUCUUCAAAUUGGCCAUAGAUAUUGCCGCCGUAGAUCCAGAAUCUAAUAAAGUAAAAAUAAACUUCCUUUUGAUGAUAUUUGCUUGUAAAAUCUACAAAUCGAAUACUUUGAUGCAAUCACGUUCCGUACGACUGUUGGUAGAGAAAUGAAAA